UGCUGACAAUGUGAGGUAGUGUUUCGAAUGUCUCUGGCACUAGCGACAUCCGUUUCACUAUCUGCAUAUUGCGGCGC
rnacentral:pre_miRNA from 2 species